CCGGCGACCGGCGCACGGGUGAGUAACACGUAUGCAACCCGGCCGUCACAGGUGGAUAACCGGAAGAAAUUCCGACUAAUACAGCAUAACACUCCUGAGGGACAUCCUUCGGGAGUCAAAGGAGGCAACUCCGGUGACGGAUGGGCAUGCGGCGCAUUAGGUAGUUGGUAGGGUAACGGCCUACCAAGCCGACGAUGCGUAGGGGUUCUGAGAGGAAGGUCCCCCACAUUGGAACUGAGACACGGUCCAAACUCCUACGGGAGGCAGCAG
rnacentral:rRNA from 1 species